rnacentral:rRNA from 1 species
UACGUAGGGAGCAAGCGUUGUCCGGAAUCAUUGGGCGUAAAGCGCGCGUAGGCGGCCAUUUAAGUCCGCUGUGAAAGCCAAAGGCUCAACCUUUGAAAGCCGGUGGAUACUGGAUGGCUAGAGUACGGAAGAGGAGAGUGGAAUUCCUGGUGUAGCGGUGGAAUGCGCAGAUAUCAGGAGGAACACCAAUAGCGAAGGCAGCUCGCUGGGACGUUACUGACACUGAGGAGCGAAAGCGUGGGGAGCGAACAGG